UUGGUUGAUCCUGCCAGUAGUGUAUGCUUCUCCUAAAGACUAAGCCAUGCAUGCCUAAGAAUAAGAGGAAGCAAUUCUCUCUGAAUCUGCGAACGGCUCCGCAAACCAGUUGUAAACUAUAGCAAGCAAGCCCGGGAUCGGCCUUCACGGGCUGGUUCCGGGUGAUAUGGAUAACCCUGGUAAUUCUGAGGCUAAUACAUGACCGUAAAACCUAGCUGACCGGCUUCGGCUGGGAUGCUGGGGGACGUGUGAUUUGGGCUUGGUAACACCGGGAAGGGGCGCACGUCUAGACCACGCUAUAAAGGUCGGUUUCCCCUUCGGGGGGAGCUGUCCCAGUGGCUCUUGCUGUGUGCUUCUGACCUAUCAACUAGACGGCAGCGUAAGGGACAUGCUAUGGUGACAACGGGUACAGAGGAUUAGGGUUCGAUCCUGGAGAGUGGGCCUGAGAGAUUGCUCAUACUUNUAAGGAAGGCAGCAGG
rnacentral:rRNA from 1 species